CAGUAAAUAGUUUAAUUAAAAUAUUAAUUUUGGGGAUUAAAGAUGAGAAUUUUCUUUUUACUGA
rnacentral:tRNA from 1 species